rnacentral:tRNA from 1 species
GCGCCCAUAGCUCAGCUGGAUAGAGCAUUGGUCUACGGAACCAAGGGUCGGACGUUCGAAUCGUCCUGGGCGCG